rnacentral:lncRNA from 10 species
UGCCUGGAGUGAAGAUUCUGCCCAUUGGUCAAGAGACCUCCCUCUCAGAUGCUGGCUCUGCCCCUGCCUUUGGGGGUCGACCCUUGUACUCGCAGGACCUUAGGUGACUCUAUUCUACUUCUCUGAUCAUCCAGGAAGCCAACCUGCCUGAGGACGAGUCAUACUCUGUCCUCCCACCCCAGGCCAGAGAGUGGUAUCUGUCUUUCCACAAGUUGACACAGCUAGAAUAUGUUUCCAAGCCUCCCCAACACGUGUGACUGUGUAUAAUUGAGUUCUAACCACAGGAAGCUUGAUGCAGAUGAGCAGGUAACCAUGGAAGUCGUGAGCUGAGGCUGCAGAGUCUAGAGCCAGAGUGUGGAAUAAACUUGGGUCUCAAAUCACCCCUGGAGCAAAGCACCCAUCUAAUCAGGAACUUCUACUUUCAACUUUACAUGCGUGAGAAAUGAACUUCUAUCAUGUUAGAGAAAUCCUUACACGGCGCCCUUGAGAGCUUUCAUACUGCAAGUCAUCCAUUUUCCUCCCCUCAAACCUG